rnacentral:rRNA from 1 species
UACGAAGGGGGCUAGCGUUGCUCGGAAUUACUGGGCGUAAAGGGUGCGUAGGCGGGUUUUUAAGUCGGGGGUGAAAUCCUGGAGCUCAACUCCAGAACUGCCUUUGAUACUGAGGAUCUUGAGUUCGGGAGAGGUGAGUGGAACUGCGAGUGUAGAGGUGAAAUUCGUAGAUAUUCGCAAGAACACCAGUGGCGAAGGCGGCUCACUGGCCCGAUACUGACGCUGAGGCACGAAAGCGUGGGGAGCAAACAGG